GUCAGCAUAAUGUCAUCAAUGUAAUGGAUGAAUGUUUAUGUCUUCUGGAAGGGGAAGGCAAUCAAAAUCUCUGUGAACUGAUUGUGACAUAGAGCUGGAGAGCUGACACACUCCUAUCAGUGUAGGUAUAUUGCUUGCCUUGCCAGCUAAAGUAAACUGCUUCUGGAAGUCUUCACUAACAGAGAUGGAGAAAAAAGCAUUUGCUGGACCAAUAGCUGCACACCAUGUACCAGGGUUUGUGCUAAUUUCCUCAAGCAAUGAAACUACAUCUGCUACAAUUGAAGUCAACACCUGAUUAAGUUCACGAUAAUCCAUCCACUGUCGUCCUCCAAAAUCCAUCUGUCUUCUGCACAGUCCAAUAGGAUGAAUCACAUCAGUCUCCCAGACAAUGUCUUAAAGAAGAGAAGCAGGAGGAAAGUGAAAUCUAAAAAGAGGCCAUUUGGACCAGCACAUGUGGAGAGUUAAAUAUUGAAUAAACCCUCAAUAAAAAUAA